UUAACAACCCAUUCGCCCGAGAACUACCAGCACAAGCUAAAAACUCAAAAGACUUGACGGUGCUCUACCCUGCCUAGAGGAGCCUGUCCUAUAAUCGAUACUCCACGAUCCACCCGACCGCCACUAGCAAUUUCAGCCUAUAUACCGCCGUCGAAAGUAUAUCCCCCAAGGGACCUAUAAUUUUCCUAAUAGGUCACCCCCUAAAAUGUCAGGCCAAGGCAUAGCUAAUGUGACGGCAGAGAUGGGCUACAUUUUCUAAUUACAGAACACACGAAAGAUGGCCUGAAAUCCGCCAAUCCCAAGGUGGAUUUAGCAGUAAGGUGGAAA
rnacentral:rRNA from 1 species